rnacentral:rRNA from 1 species
GUGCCUAACACAUGCAAGUCGAACGAGAAAGUGGAGCAAUCCAUGAGUAAAGUGGCGACCGGGUGAGUAACACGUGACUAACCUGCCUUCGAGUGGGGGAUAACCUCGGGAAACCGGGGCUAAUACCGCAUAAUGCCUACGGGUUAAAGGAGCAAUUCGCUUGAAGAGGGGGUCGCGGCUGAUUAGCUAGUUGGCGGGGUAACGGCCCACCAAGGUGAUGAUCGGUAGCCGGCCUGAGAGGGCGCACGGCCACACUGGAACUGAAACACGGUCCAG